AGACACCGGACACACGCGCACCAUCACCUUCACCUGAGGUGCCGACAGUGCGGAGGCACUACGGACAAAAAAUAUGGCGAAAGAAAAAUGGCUAUGACAUGCAACAUGGAACCCCAGGAUGGAGCUGAGUACUGCAAUUACAUGCGUUGCCUUGAAAACACACAGAUCCGCUGUCCUACAAAGACUAGAAGCAGAGACGAGGAGAUAGAGCUGUGAGUACAGCUUCACUG